UACGUAGGGUGCAAGCGUUAUCCGGAUUCACUGGGUUUAAAGGGUGCGUAGGAGGGCAGGUAAGUCAGUGGUGAAAUCUCCGAGCUUAACUUGGAAACUGCCGUUGAUACUAUCUGCCUUGAAUAUUGUGGAGGUGAGCGGAAUAUGUCAUGUAGCGGUGAAAUGCUUAGAUAUGACAUAGAACACCAAUUGCGAAGGCAGCUCGCUACACAUAUAUUGACUCUGAGGCACGAAAGCGUGGGGAUCAAACAGG
rnacentral:rRNA from 1 species